rnacentral:rRNA from 1 species
CCCUUAGAUGUUCUGGGCUGCACGCGUGCUACACUGAGUGGAUCAGCGGGUCAGGUUGCGCGAAAGCGUUUCCUAAUCUUUAAAUCCGCUCGUGAUGGGGAUUGACGGUUGCAAUUUUCUGUCAUGAACGAGGAAUACCUUGUAAGCGCGGGUCAUCAUCCCGCGCUGAAUACGUCCCUGCCCUUUGUACACACCGCCCGUCGCUCCUACCGAUUGAGUGGUCCGGUGAGGCUUUGGGAUCUGAGCGGAAAGAGCGUUUCGCUGUUUCUGCUCGGAAAACUCAGUCGAACCUUAUCAUUUAGAGGAAGGAGAAGGCGUAACA